rnacentral:lncRNA from 1 species
GGGGACUCGUGGUUUAACUUAUCUAGUAGUCUAAAUUGAUUAAAUUUGACUUGAUUGUAUAUAUUUUGUUUUUGUUUUUGUUUUUGUUUUAUUUUAUAUAAAAGUGCUACUAGGGUUUGUGUUUCUUGUGCAUGCAGGAAACUAGACAUACUAGGAGCAAGAAAAACACACUCUUCUUGAAGGCUUGAGUGAAACAAGUAAAGGAGAGUCAGACACCCAUCUAGGGAGUUGUUUCCCUCUCCUGACAGAUUAUUAUCACCUUCACUAGAAGCUCGUAUACUAGAUUCAGAAGAGAUGGCAAAUGAGCAACCCCC